AAUCUGAUUUUAACCCUUAACCACACCGCCAACAUUAUGCCUAACCCUAUGCUUUAAAUAAGAACAAAAAGCAAAAAAAAAAGUCAUUAAUAUUUUCCGAUAUAGCCAAUUUGUACUUUGUGGCUGUGUUAUCUAGUGGAAACAGGCAGGGAGAGGCAAGAUGGCUGACGCCGGGGAGCGCUUGAGCAAUGCAGGCAGUGUGGUGGUUCACAGUGGACCGUGUUCGAAGGCUCAUGUUUGCAGACUUCCUGAUUAACCUGAUCCUGUGGGUGGAGGGCUUCUUGGCAGCCAUCCCCUUCAGCACGCUUGUGGCCAUCUUGGCUUUGUGGUUUGGCAUGUCUGGGCCCUUCACCUUUGUGGGCGCCUAGCCUACUUCGGCUUCAAGAUGCCUGUGAGUUUAACCUAUCAAUCACGCUGUCUGUAUGGAUAACUCUUUCAGGUCAUCUUACAUCAUGUGCAUUUCCCCCCUAAGGUUGCAAUCUCUUUCAAACUGGCACAAAUCAGAGAAAACAUAGCAUACUAAGAAGGGUUUGUCUUGAUGUGUUUCUAUGCUACUCUCUGUGCUCCAGGCACACAAUUUUUUAAAAAUUUUUUAAUAUAUAUUUUUUACAUACAGUACCAGUCAAAAGUUUGGACACCUACUAAUUCAAAGGUUUUUCUUUAGUAAAAAUAAACUCAGGGAAAAAAAGAAACGUCCUCUCACUGUCAACUGUGUUUAUUUUCAGCAAACUUCAUGUGUAAAUAUUUGUAGGAACAUAACAAGAUUCAAUAACUGAGACAAACUGAACAAGUUCCACAGACAAGUGACUAACAGAAAUGGAAUAAUGUGUCCCUGAACAAAGGGGGGGUAAAAAUCAAAAGUAACAGUCAGUAUCUGGUGUGGCCACCAGCUGCAUUAAAUACUGCAGUGCAUCUCAUCCUCAUGGACUGCACCAGAUUUGCCAGUUCUUGCUGUGAGAUGUUACGCAACUCUUCCACAAAGGCACCUGCAAGUUCCCGGACAUUUCUGGGGGGAAUGGCCCUAGCCCUCACCCUCUCAUCCAACAGGUCCCAGAUGUGCUCAAUGGGAUUGAGGUCGAAGCUCUUCGCUGGCCAUGGCAGAACACUGACAUUCCUGUCUUACAGGAAAUCACGCACAGAACGAGCAGUAUGGCUGGUGACAAUGUCAUGCUGGAGGGUCAUGUCAGGAUGAGCCUGCAGGAAGGGUACGACAUGAGGGAGGAGGAUGUAUUCCCAAUAAAGCACAGCAUUGAGAUUGCCUGCAAUGACAAGCUCAGUCUGAUGAUGCUGUGACACACCGCCCCAGACCAUGACGGACCCUCCACCUCCAAAUCGAUCCCACUCCACAGUACAGGCCUCGGUGUAAUGCUUAUUCCUUUGACGAUAAACGCGAAUCCGACCAUCACCCCUGGUGAGACAAAACCACGACUCGUCAGUGAAAAGCACUUCUUGCCAGUCCUGUCUGGUCCAACGACGGUGGGUUUGUGCCCAUAGGCGACGUUGUUGCCGGUGAUGUCUGGUGAGGACCUGCCUUAAUACAACAGGCCUACAAGCCCUCAGUCCAGCCUUUCUCAGCCUAUUGCGGACCGUUUGUGCACUGAUGACGGAUUGUGCAUUCCUGGUGUAACUCGGGCAGUUGUUGUUGCCAUCCUGUACCUGUCCCGCAGGUGUGAUGUUCGGAUGUAUCGAUCCUGUGCAGAUGUUGUUACACUUGGUCUGCCACUGCAACACAGUAUGGACAUUGCAAUUUAUUGCCCUGGCCACAUCUGCGGUCCUUAAGCCUCCUUGCAGCAUGCCUAAGGCACGUUCACGAAGAUGAGCAGGGACCCUGGGUAUCUUUCAUUUGGUAUUUUUCAGAGUCAGUAGAAAGGCCUCCUUACUGUCCUAAGUUUUCAUAACUGUGACCUUACUUGCCUACCGUCUGUAAGCUGUUAGUGUCUUAACGACCAUUCCACAGGUGCAUGUUAAUUAAUUGUUUAUGGUUCAUUGAACAAGCAUGGGAAACGGUGUUUAAACCCUUUACAAUGAAGAUCUGUGAAGUUAUUGUGAUUUUUACAAAUUAUCUUUGAAAGACAGGGUCCUGAAAAUGGGACUUUUUUUGCUGAGUUUAUUUUCUAUAUUGGCUAUUGGUUGAGAUGCAUGGCCUGUUCUAGCUUGGUAUGUCAGGAAAUUGGAAAUGUGAAUUGGGCCAAGUCGGAGGUAAUAAAACAUUUUGUUUAAUAUCUCUUAUGUUUAAUAUAUUCAAAUGAAUUACACUACCGUUCAAAAGUUUGGGGUCACAUAGAAAUGUCCUAGUUUUUGAAAGAAAGGCACAUUUGUUUUGUCUGUUAAAAUGACAUCAAAUUGAUCAAAUGCAGUGUAGACAUUAUUCAUGGCCUUCUAGGCAGAGUUGCAAAGAAAAGGCCAUAUCUCAGACUGACCAAUAAAAAUAAAAUAUUAAGAUGGGCAAAAGAACACAGACACUGAACAGAGGACUCUGCCUAGAAAGCCAGCAUCCUGGAGUCAGUCGCCUCUUCACUGUUGAAGUUGAGACUGGUGUUUUGCAGGUACUAUUUAAUGAAGCUGCCAGUUGAGGACUUGUAAAUUUGUAUUAGGUUCCCCAUCAGCUAACACCAUAACGCUAGUUAAUCUUCCUGGGGUCCAACACUGUUGGAGGAAAUUAUAGUUGAAAUGAUUAAUUAUGUAUACAUUUUUAAUUAGAACCAUUUAUUCUAAUACUAUGUUAUGGUAUGAAAUGUAUGGGUUCUUGGUUAAGCUGUUACUGAAAAUGUAAGUAAAACAAAUUAAUUGUCUGUACCUUGUGAGAAGUUUAAGGGAGAGGAAUGAUAGAAAAGAUAAAACAGAUAAGAAUGGUCUUUGAUGUUCCAUUAGUGGAGGAGAAGAUGUCUUUUAGACAGAUUGGAAUGUUUGUUUUAUGAGGGGAGUAGAAGAAGAUCUCCAGAACUUAAGACACUGCGCUAUUGUGUGGAUAGGAGAGGGUGUGAGAAACUGAUGAUGUCAUUUUAUGUUGUUUCUUUAAAUUGUAAGGUUCUUUGUAUUUUGCUUCAGUACUCUCUUGAAUUAAACGCUGUUACCUGACUUUUAA